AAGGGUGGGCAGCCCAGGGCCAGUCCCACUUGUUGGUGGGUUUGUGGUGUCCCCAGCCCUCUCUUACAGGCACCAAAGCAGCAGUGGAAUCUGCUGGGAGAUGCAGCCCCCGGGCAGAGAGGCAGCAUGGGGUGUCCUGCCCAGGGCUUGCAGCAGAGCCCCGGUGGCAGUACUGGAAGCAGAAGGCCGUCCUGUCCCACAGGGUGCGUGUGGAUGGGCAUGGUGGGGUGGCUGUCCCCAUACGGAGGGUCCCUUGGUCCCACACGGGACCUCUUCCAGACCCUACAAUGGCCAUGGAAAGGCUGUCAGCAUGGGGACAUUUAUCAAAGAAAUCAAUUACAAAUGAAAUCCUGAAGAAAAACCCUCCAGCAUAGGGGCGACUGUUCAAAACCAGUUUGUAAAAGUCAUUGCCUUCAUCAAGUUAAUUAGCUGCAUAAGUGCCGGCUGAACACGGCAACAAUGCCCAAGGCUUGAUGGAUUGGUGCCAUCCACCCUUGUCCAUCCUGCUCCCUCCAGCUGGCAGCGCUGCGCCGGGCCCUGAGGAGCGGCCAGGAGGGGAUGCAGGAGCCAGGAGCUGGAGAUUGGGGCAUGCAGAGCGAUGGGGAUGGGGUCAGGGCACAUGCGUGGGAUCGUGUGGAGAAAGUGGAGCAGAAGGGCUGUGCUGGAUGCCCAGGGAACGUGAGGAGGAAAAUGCUGGAUCUCAGAGAAGAGAAGCGGGAGCUGCAGGAGAAGCUCUGUGGGCUGGAGCUCCAGAUGUGCUCCAUGCUGCGGCAGAGGCAGGAGGCCCUGGGGCAGCUGAGGGCAGUGCUGCAGAAGGAGAGGAUGGCCACAGUCCAGCAGCUGCAGGAGAGCCUGGAGAAGGUGAAUGGGGCCGUUUGUCAGAACUAUCAGCUGGAAGAGCUGGCAGCCCCAAGAGCCCUGAAGGAGCCACCGACCCCAGCCAGAGCCCUGCGGGAUGCAGAGAUGUGUGUGUGGGACCCAGCCUGGCCACCCCCUCCUGAUCCUUCCAAACCUGGGUUGAGCCAUGACACAGGUGCACAGAAAUUCUGUCUCUUCCCUGUCCCCAAGCACUGUGCCUGGCCUCCAGCAGCACCAACGUGGGGUCCCAGGGGUCCUGCACCACAUCCAGUGCUGCCUGCGGGAGCUGCAGGUGAAUGA
rnacentral:lncRNA from 1 species